CCAAAGACUUCUCCCUAAGACACUUCUGUGUUGUCUUGGCUGUGUGCUUAGGGUUGUUGUCCUGUUGGAAGGUGAACCUUCACCCCAGUCUGAGUUCCUGAGCACUCUGGAGGAGGUUUUCAUCAAGGAUCUUUCUGUACUUUGCUCCAUUCAUCUUUCACCAUGAUCCUGACUAGUCUCCCAGUCCCUGCCGCUGAAAAACAUCCCCAGAGGAUGAUGCUGCCACCACCAUUUUAUUUUUUUAUUUUUUAUUUCACCUUUAUUUAACCAGGUAGGCUAGUUGAGAACAAGUUCUCAUUUACAACUGCGACCUGGCCAAGAUAAAGCAAAGCAGUUCGACACAUGGAAUAAACAAACAUACAGUCAAUAAUAAAAUAGAAAAAGUCUAUAUACAGUGUGUGCAAAUGAGGUAGGAUAAGGGAGGUAAGGAAAUAAAUAGGCCAUAGUGGCGAAAGGGAUGGUGCCAGGUUUCUUCCAGACGUGACGCUUGGCAUUCAGGCCAAAAAGUUUGAUCUUGGUUUCAUCAGACCAGAGAAUCUUGUUUCUCAUGGUCUAAGAAUCCUUUAGGUGCCUUUUCGCAAACUCCAAGUGAGCUCUCGUGUCCCUUUUACUGAAGAGUGGCUCCGUCUUGCCACUCUAGUAUAAAAGCCUGAUUGGUUGAGUGCUGCAGAUAUGAUUGUCCUUCUGGAAGGUUCUCCUAUUUCCACAGAGGAUCUCUGGAGCUCUGUCUGAGUGACAAUCGGGAUCUUUGUCACCUCCCUGACCAAGUCCCUUCUCCCCCGAUUGUCCAGUUUAGCUGGGUGGCAAGCUCUAUGAAGAGUCUUGGUGGUUCCAAACUUCUUCCAUUUAAGAAUUAUGGAGGCCAUUAUGUUCUUGGGAUCUGUGCCUUCGACACAAUCCUGUCUCGGAGCUCUACAGACAAUUCCUUCAACCACAUGGCUUGGUUUUUGCUCUGACAUGCACUGUCAACUGUGGGACCUUAAUUAAAUAGACAGGUGUGUGUCUUUCCAAAUCAUGUCCAAUCAAUUCAAUUUACCACAGGUGGACUCCAAUCAAGUUCUAUAAACAUCUCCAGGAUGAUCAAUGGAAACAGGAUUUACGUGAGCUCAAUUUAGAGUCUCAUAGCAAAGGGUCUGAAUACUUAAGUAAAUAAGGUCAAUUACAUUUUUUAUCCAUUUGCAAAAAUUUCUGAAAACCAGUUUUCGCUUUGUCAUUAUGACAUGCUGGAUGGCAGGUUAGUUUUCUGUACAUUAUAGUUUGGUGGUUGACUCAAGGAGGUGUGAGGUGUGUGGCUGUCCUAAAUUAUACAGCAAAUGUUUGAGGUUAUGGGGGACUUUACCAGUCACACGUACAAGUCAAAAUCCCCAGAUAAUUAAUUGUGCUGUGGGGUAAAUGGCUGCACAACCUGUCACAUUCACUAUCGUUUCAUACUAUCAGGGCCGCUUCUAGCCUUUCCUUCAAUUCUGCACAUUUUGACAUGGGAUGGAGAGAUAUUUUUCGAGUUUUAAAGCAAAUUUCCUGAAAUUCAAGACAUUUAGCCAUGUUAAAAGCGAUAUCUAGUGAGAGUGUCUAACAAAAUCCCCAGACGUAAGGGCACAGAAUUCGGCCAAGUUUAGAUAGCUGGUUAGACUAGUUUACCAAUCCCAAAAACAAUUGUGAGUGACAACUGAGUGAGUCUCAUUGUCUAACAUAACAAAUGGAAAACUGCUGAUGCAUAUCCAAAUUUCGGAAUGGCACCUUUUGUAUUCCACUAUUCUAACAGCCCAAAAUUAGUUCCUUUUUAAAUGUAUGAUUAAAAUAAUAAUAAUUCAGUCCCUUAGCGGCCCGGGGGCCCUAAGCGAUCGCUUAUGUCACUUAUGGCUGGAGCUAGCCCUGCAUACUAUACUGCCACAUGGCCUUUGGAUCCAACCACUGCCACAAAAUUCCUCUAAAGACUAAAACGUUCUUCUCUGACACUGGUAUCCCACAUUACAGCUACCCCCCUGACCCACAUGAAACCCUAAAAGGGGAUUCCAGCCUUGAGAAGUUAGCUCAUAUCGCCCUGCAUCAAAGAGUGACUGAUACUGGUAAGACCACUCACCAUGAAACAGCAGAAAUAGUAAUUAAUGACAGCGUUGUGUAGUUUGAGCUAAACAAACUAGCUUACAGACUGCAAGAAACAACAGGAUGGGCUCGCCAAAUCACGACAAUAUAAUGGUUUGAAGUUGAAUGGAAAAUAUAAGCACCGCAAAUCUAUAAAUUAAAUACUGCUCAUCUUGUCCAUUCAUUUUAGAUAGCUGGAUCUUCAAAACCAAAAUCUCGGAACAUGGACUUAUCUUGACAGACUAUUUUUGACAUCUGAAAACAUUGGAAUUUUCCGUAAGGUGGGUAAACGCUUGUGCAUAACCAAAAUUGUGAGUAAACACCUGCUAACACAAAUGUUAACAAGCCACCGGUCUCCCUUACAGUGUAAGAUAGCAGACCAUUUAACAAUAAACCAAGAUAAAAUCCAUAAAUGAUGAGGGAGAAGUUAUUGAAAACAAAUUUUGUAUUGGAAAAAAGACGUAUCAGUGCCUUAAAGCUAUAGGCUUGGAACCGACCAAACAUGUUCAUUAAGCAGAACUAAGGAUUGCGGAGAGAGUGGGGGCAAAUGUGUGGUUCGGCAUCUGAGUCCAAGAGAUGAGAGAGAACCUGGAAAAUGAUUAACACGUGCCACGUGCUGCACUAGUCGGGGGAGCCUCUCCCUCUGAUGUGGUGUGGUGUGUGUGUUCUGUGUGCGUGUGUUCUGUGUGUGUGAGAGGAGAGUGCGUGUAUGUUUUUGUCUGUGUGUGUGUGUGUGUGUGUGUGUGUGUGUGUGUGUGUGUGUGUGUGUGUGUGUGUGUGUGUGUGUGUGUGUGUGUGUGUGUGUGUGUGUGUGUGUGUGUGUGUGUGUGUGUGUGUGUGUCAAGUCUCAUAGCAAAGGGUCUGAACAUGAAUUUUUAAAUGUGCCAACAUAUCAACAACAACAAAAUUCACUUUGUCAUUACGGGGUAUUGUUUGUAGAUUGAUGAGUAAAACAAAUAAUUGUAUCAAGUUUAGAAUAAGGCUGUAAUGCAACAAAAUUUGGAUAAUGUCAAGGGAAUACUUUCCAAAUGCACCGUCUUUUUUUCUCUUGGCUUGUUCGAAUGGUUUGAAAAUGAAUUACCUGUGCAUACGCUUACGCACAGUAAUAACAAACAGAGGGUACCACACAAUUGAGACAUUACUGUGCUGAGUUGGCCCACUUACGCAGACGCCCACACACACUUGCCGUCUCUGACAAAACUGUCCACACCUCUCCAUCUGUCACUCUGUAUUACUCAUCGCUGCUAGGGAGAGAGAUGGUAAGGGGGAUUCCUCCUGUGUCGUUUCCAAUGUGGUUCUCUCCUCUUCUGUCCUCUGUCCACUAGCCUGAAAAAACCUGCCCAGUGGGAGGUGUGUUACUGAGAGUUGAAGUCAUCUUCAGGAGGAUGUUGAAAAUCGUGACACCAGGUGGCCACAACGUUAACUUUUUAGCUAAAUUGAACCCACAAGCUCGUGGGUGUUUUCGAAAUCUUGUGAAAAAGAGAUUGCACACAAAGUAGACUAUUUUCAAUGUUUAAUGUUACUUUUUUUCAGCAGCAGGGCAUACAUGUCUUGUCUUUCUCCUGAAAUAUGCUCAUAUGUAUUUUAUUCACGUUUUUAGCCAACCUAAAACCUCAAAUAAAAAAUAUAAGUGUGAAACUGUUCUCCCAGCUUUGUCGAUAGAAAGUCCAUUAGUUAGUACAUGAGACCAGUUUUAGUAUUUUGUAAAUGUUAUCAAUAUCAAACAACAGCAGCCUUUGGUAUUAAGGAUUUUUUUGAUCCAUGUGGACUGAUAUCAGUAGCUUCAACAUUCACACAUUCAGAUGAUAACAUUCAGAUGAUAACUAUCGGAUGGUGCACUCAGUUCUGUCAGUUCCAUUCCCUCUUUGGUAAAGCCACAUAAACCCAAUAUGUGAUUUGACAUGAUGAGGCUUCCGCCUUUAAUACAUUCCAAGUGCAUAUCCCACUGGAGAACCUGAAACAGAUGAAGGCAAACCCAUUCACAAUAAGGUGGUACCACUACUUCCUUACCAUCAGGAUGCAGAAAGUCAGAGUUAGCUCUACGCUGAUGCCCUGACCACCAGCAUGGGGGCACCCCCACGGCUGUGUUAGUUCCCCUAGCCCAGAGGUGGGCAAUUCCAGUCCUCGAGGGCCUGACUGGUGUCACAGUUUCUCUCCAUUCCCAGCUAACACACCUGACUUAACUAUACAUUCAUGUACAUACUACCUCAAUUGGGCCGACCAACCAGUGCUCACGCACAUUGGCUAACCGGGCUAUCUGCAUUGUGUCCCACCUACCACCCGCCAACCCCUCUUUUACGCUACUGCUACUCUCUGUUCAUCAUAUAUGCAUAGUCACUUUAACCAUAUCUACAUGUACAUGCUACCUCAAUUAGCCUGACUAACCGGUGUCUGUAUGUAGCCUCGCUACUGUAUAUAGCCUGUCUUUUUACUGUUGUUUUAUUUCUUUACCUACCUAUUGUUCACAUAAUACCUUUUUUGCACUAUUGGUUAGAGCCUGUAAGUAAGCAUUUCACUGUAAGGUGUACACCUGUUGUAUUUGGUUCACGUGACAAAUAAACUUUGAUUUGAUUUGAUUGCAUGAUGAUUAGCUUAGCAACAACAUGGCACAGCAUGAAAAUGUGAAUGUGAUUGGGUGGGGGCUGCUGGGUGGGGGUUUCUUCAUUCAUUACAUUCCUAUAUUAUUUUUAUAAUAUCUCUGGCAGCGGCACCAUGCAAUGCAUUUUGGGCUAAAGAAGCAGACAAAUAAGAAAAAUGUGAAUGACCCUCUGUUAAAUUACACAUUUCUCGAGGUAUAAAUAUCACAAAAAUAUGAUCAAUGGCUCCUUCGAGAGAAGACAUUGUUAUAUGCUAUGGAGGUACAUUUGUGUCCUUUUGUCGAGAGCAAAACGUUUUUAUUUUCAAUCAAAAAGAAUUGUUCUGAACGCAACUUUUUCAUUUUCAAUCAAAAAUAAUUAUUCUGAAAGCAAAAACAAGGCUUUAAAGUUUUAAAAGAUUAUUGCAAUCAAAAAUGUUGUAAUAGAGCACCAAGCCUUAUGCAUUUUAUUCCCCAAAAAUAUUUAGAGAACAAAACUAAUUUCGCUAUCAACCACCCUGCAUUUCUGCAAUUUUUGGAGUGUCAGUUUGGCUACUACCAAUACUGUUCAGCUUUUCUUUCCGACACAAAGGAAGUCAUAGUGGACACCUACUGUCACGCCCUGACCUUAGUUUUCUAUGUUUUCUUUAUUAUUUUGGUUAGGUCAGGGUGUGACGAGGGUGGGUAUGCUUGUUUUUGUAUUGUCUAGGGUUUUUUGCAUAUCUAGGGGUUUUGUUAUGUCUAGGUAUAUGUAGGUCUAUGGUGGCCUGAAUUGGUUCCCAAUCAGAGGCAGCUGUUUUUCGUUGUCUCUGAUUGGGGAUCAUAUUUAGGUUGCCAUUUUCCCUUUUGGUUUUGUGGGUUCUUGUCUAUGUGUAGUUUCCUGUUCAGCACUCUUUGUAUAGCUUCACGGUUCGUUUUUGUCGUUUUGUUCAGUGGUCAUUCUUAUGUUAAAGAGAAUGUACGUAUACCACGCUGCGCCUUUGUCUCCUCCCUACGAUGGCCGUGACACCUACGAAGGACUGUGUGAUAAUGGCAUCUACUAAGAUGUAUAAUGUCUCCAUCAAAUCUAAGAAGUUAGUUAAACUUUUUUAUUCUUACUUAUUCGUAGACAAAUUUUCAAUGAUGUAUGAAAUUGGAGUUGUUCUUCAUCAACCUUUAAUAUAUAAAUAAUGAAACAGGUUAAUAGGUUAAAUAUUUCACUUUUAAUUCCAAUGCUUUUUUUUCAAGAAACAACAUUGUCAUUUUUGGCGGUAUAAAUUCAUUUUCAAGGAAGGUAAGUAUAUUAUUUUGUAUGCAUGUUGCCCAUCACCUAAUGAACAACCUCAAUACCAGUCUGGUGUUAAGUUUUCUGUGCUGUAGUGACGUAUCCUGAAAAUGACAUCUGCUGCUUUAGAUUGAACCGUCAUAUCUCAGUUACUGUCUCCGUAUCUACAAAAAAUACGUUAUUUUCUUUACUUUCAGAAUGCAAGUUGAUCAAGGGGUUGAAAAUGUAGAUAUUGCCAGAUGUAUGUUAUCUGUCCGAGGAACAGGCCGUGGAAGCUUUAUUGCUGGCAAAAGUGUCCAUAACCAGAGCAUAAAGUACUCUGUAGCCACUUAGUGUGGACAUCAGGUGAGACUACACACACAGUUAUAUCAGCUGUGUUGGUGAACCCCUCCCGCAUCUGAACUGGCUGAUAGAGGGCACAGCAUGAUCAUAGGUAUGUUUUGAUGUGGGAGAGAAAGCCAGUCCCGUCAUCGCCACCUCACCCGCUCUUAAGAUAACCUUCGGGCCGACUGGGACCCCAAGCUGGUUAGGAGACACCGCUAGAGACACUAUGUAAUUGUGAUGAACUGAGAGAAUAUUAGGGUAGCACUGUAAUUCAUUAAUCAUAUGCUGUCUUCCCUGCUCCUCUGUUAAAACCUCUUUCCUUUUCUGUCUUCUACCCCUCUCUCCCCACCUCCUCUUUGUUCCUCUUUUUAAAAAGAAUUAACACCAUAUGUGCAUUGAAGUACAGAUUUAACUUGUAUUUAUAAUAUCAUAUUACAAUUAUGAUAGUUAUAAUGCAUGUAUUAUGUAUUUAUAACACCUGGAUAAUGAACUUUCAAUA